rnacentral:lncRNA from 1 species
GAAAAGAACUACUUGAUCUUAAAGCAAGAACUAUGAAGGAAAGGGUGAGUACCAUUUAAGAGCUGCUACAAUCAACACUUUAAACAGUUUAUUAACAGUGAAACGAAACUCACUGUGCUGAUAAGUGAAGAAAGGAAGGAAAAUCCAUGAUAAUUCAUCAUAUAUCAUAAGACAUCAGCAUCUGGAUAUAAGAACCAUGCCAGGCACUGUGACUCUAAACAGAGAGCGAAGAAGUCCUCUACGAGCCCCAUGGGUUUACAGAAGUCUAUCAAUCUCUCUGUCCAUCUUCCGGAUCAUUAUUCAAGUUACUGUUCCCAAUUUUGCUGGGUAUAUGAGAUCUAGCCCAGCUCCGUAGAUCAUUUUUCUUCCUAGUGGAUUAGGAAUUUGUUCUCUUUAAAUUAUCUCUGAGCUAAUAUGCUGCUCAAAAAAGUAGUAGGAAUGUCAACAUCACCUGUGUUUGCUUUGCGUAUGUGUUUAUAUAUCUACCUCCCCACCCUUGUACUGUGAUUGCCAUAUGAGAACUUAAAGUUAUGAAUGGAACUAGUAGCAG